UGAGGAAUAUUGGACAAUGGGUGAAAGCCUGAUCCAGCCAUCCCGCGUGAAGGAUGACGGUCCUACGGAUUGUAAACUUCUUUUGUAUAGGGAUAAACCUAGAUACGUGUAUCUAGCUGAAGGUACUAUACGAAUAAGCACCGGCUAACUCCGUGCCAGCAGCCGCGGUAAUACGGAGGGUGCAAGCGUUAUCCGGAUUUAUUGGGUUUAAAGGGUCCGCAGGCGGGCCGAUAAGUCAGUGGUGAAAUCUCAUAGCUUAACUAUGAAACUGCCGUUGAUACUGUCGGUCUUGAGUAAAUUAGAGGUAGCUGGAAUAAGUAGUGUAGCGGUGAAAUGCAUAGAUAUUACUUAGAACACCAAUUGCGAAGGCAGGUUACCAUGAUUUAACUGACGCUGAGGGACGAAAGCGUGGGGAGCGAACA
rnacentral:rRNA from 1 species